UCCAUCUUCAAUUGGAAAUCUUUCACAGCUCACCUCUCUCAAUCUUUAUUCCAAUCAGUUUUCGGGUCAGAUUCCAUCUUCAAUUGGAAAUCUUCCACUUCUUACCUCUCUUGAUCUUUCUUCCAAUCAGUUUUCGGGUCAGAUUCCAUCUUCAAUUGGAAAUCUUUCACAGCUCACCUCUCUCUAUCUUUCUUCCAAUCAGUUUUCGGGUCAGAUUCCAUCUUCAAUUGGAAAUCUUUCAUUUCUUACCUCUCUUGAUCUUUCUUCCAAUCAGUUUUCG
rnacentral:lncRNA from 1 species